rnacentral:rRNA from 1 species
GACGAACGCUGGCGGCGUGCCUAAUACAUGCAAGUAGGACGCACAGUUUAUACCGUAGCUUGCUACACCAUAGACUGUGAGUUGCGAACGGGUGAGUAACGCGUAGGUAACCUGCCUAUUAGAGGGGGAUAACUAUUGGAAACGAUAGCUAAUACCGCAUAACAGUAUGUAACACAUGUUAGAUGCUUGAAAGAUGCAAUUGCAUCGCUAGUAGAUGGACCUGCGUUGUAUUAGCUAGUAGGUAGGGUAAUGGCCUACCUAGGCGACGAUACAUAGCCGACCUGAGAGGGUGAUCGGCCACACUGGGACUGAGACACGGCCCAGACUCCUACGGGAGGCAGCAGUAGGGAAUCUUCGGCAAUGGGGGGAACCCUGACCGAGCAACGCCGCGUGAGUGAAGAAGGUUUUCGGAUCGUAAAGCUCUGUUGUUAAGGAAGAACGAGUGUGAAAAUGGAAAGUUCAUACUGUGACGGUACUUAACCAGAAAGGGACGGCUAACUACGUGCCAGCAGCCGCGGUAAUACGUAGGUCCCGAGCGUUGUCCGGAUUUAUUGGGCGUAAAGCGAGCGCAGGCGGUUAGAAAAGUCUGAAGUGAAAGGCAGUGGCUCAACCAUUGUAGGCUUUGGAAACUGUUUAACUUGAGCGCAGAAGGGGAGAGUGGAAUUCCAUGUGUAGCGGUGAAAUGCGUAGAUAUAUGGAGGAACACCGGUGGCGAAAGCGGCUCUCUGGUCUGUAACUGACGCUGAGGCUCGAAAGCGUGGGGAGCGAACAGG